UGAAAUCUGUAGGCUGCUAAAGAAGAUCAUACAGUGCCCUGGAUGCAGACAUCUCUCCUGCUGGCUGGGUGAUACAGGUGGAGGAACUGUGCUUGAGAAUUCUUCCAGGCAUGACCCAGAAAUGAAACUUUAGCACCUGGUUUAAGACUAGAAGCAGCGCACUGUAGAGGCAGCUGAAGAAUUUUUGGAUGCAGGCACAUUAAGACCUUUCUGCGGCAGUAACCCAUGAAACUUCCUGGGUUUGUCUCCUUUGCAAUCUCCACAAGAAGUCUCUAGCAUCACUGUGGAAGAUUGUGCUGCAAAUGGAAAGUAGAAGUGGUAGUUUCUGGUUUUCACUGGAGUGUGAACUGCUGCAGUUUCUUUGGUGAAUGACUGAUACAGUGACCUCAUCAUAUGGAAUGGUUCCUAUUUUCUCUGGUUUAUUAUAGACACCUAUUCAUCAAAAGGAGGCUGAGUCUGCAAGUGCCAAAAAGAUGCAGCAGCAGAACUUGAGGGAAGUCUUGAGCUGUUGACUAUUUGCAGAGGUAGAGCUCUGCCUUCCCAGAAUUUCUCUUCUCUAGAGAAGGAAGACAGAAUUUUUAGGUGACUAUAACUAUAUGCUCAACUAUAUGCUGUUUAAGGAGUACCUGUCAGCUGCAGACAGCCUAAUCCAGUGGAAUCAUAUCCUGAAGAACGAAAAACACAAAUACCCUCCUGCCUUUCCCCUUGUUUUUGUGUGUCCCCACACAGGAAAUCUCCUCAGUGGUCAUUAUUUCUCAUCUUCUGUGCAACUUGUGUUCUGUUUGGCUCAUCUCCCACCGUGCUUCCCCACCUGGUAGUGGAUUUUGAUGGAGACUCUAAAAUUAAAGCACUGCUGCCUUUUUGUGAAAGAUCUUCACAACUUAGGUGCCUACAACACCCUAAGACAGCAGAUGAAUAACUGACAAUUACAUUGUUUCAUUCAGAAACAUGCAGAAGUGGUAUUUUUAUCAAGGCCCACAUGGUAGAGGCCACAGCAAAGUUCAUCUUCCCAAUACAUGAGAAUUCGUGCCUUUACUUCCAUCAUGCUACCUAAUGCAGGAUGUGAGAAUCGAUAUACCAGGAAAAAAGACUCUUAAUUUUACUUUCUUCUGUCAACUUCAGUGCAGAAAGUGGCAGAUGCCUUGGGGAGGUCUGGUUUGUUCCAUGUGAGACUAGAAAGAACCUAGAAUGUGUCCAGCCAAAAAAAAAAAAAAAAAAAAAAAAGCUGCUGCUUUUAAUCUAAACAGAAUAAUUAAUGUUUUAGCUUAAGGAAUUAAAAGAAUAUAGUCAUUUAUCUGCUCUGAUCUAUGUAUUACAAUUCUAAAUGGGGUGGCAGCAAAGAAAUUAAGGUAGGGAGUGUUUAUUCCUCUAGUUCUUUUUUUGUUUUGUUUUAAUUAUUUUAUUAAAAGUGUCACCAUUUCGAGUAUGAGGAGGUGUAAGUAACAAAGUAGAGAUAACUUAAGCUGUAAGUAAAUGCUACUUGGUAGGGAGUAUUAGAUCAAAAGUCUGAUCUAUCUGAUUUGUAACUGCUGCAUGUGUGUUAUCCAGUGUUGCAAUAUCCAUUUAUUUGCAUUUUUUUCUGAUGCAUCUAGACUUAGAAACACAUGAAAGAUGCAUAUUUUUAUUAAAAAAAUGUGAAAAAGAGUCAUGUAAUUAUUACUAUCUGGCUACUUGUUCUCUCUCUGGGAAGUUGAUGUUCAGGGUAGAUAGAAGCAGCUAUGUUUUUCUAGAUGUGUAUGGCAACCUGCUGAUUGCUGUCUCACCAGAAUAAACUCCAAACCUUUCCAGCUGUUCUUAAUCUGGCCCCUUAACCUUUAAAAAAACCAGAGGCUUUCCAUUCCUCAGAGCCAAACUUUGCUAACAAUAUCUAGGUUGUUUUCAAACCAAGCUUCAAACAUAAAAAUGACUAAUAAAUCCAUAUUCCGUAAUGGUUAGGCUGGGAAACUAUUAUUUUAAAACAGACUCAGUUUUUAUGACCAAUUUCUAAUAAAAAUCCCAAGUAUGCUUCACUAAUGCUACCAUUUCAGAUACUCAGAUCCCGGAUGAUAGGCAUGAUAUCCAGAUAGAUGCACCAAUAAAUAUGUAAAAGCUAUAAAUCUGUCUCAAAUUAGUGAUUUGUGGAUGUGCAAGGGGGAAGAG